AGAGUUUGAUCAUGGCUCAGAUUGAACGCUGGCGGCAGGCCUAACACAUGCAAGUCGAACGGUAACAGGAAGCAGCUUGCUGCUUUGCUGACGAGUGGCGGACGGGUGAGUAAUGUCUGGGAAACUGCCUGAUGGAGGGGGAUAACUACUGGAAACGGUAGCUAAUACCGCAUAACGUCGCAAGACCAAAGAGGGGGACCUUCGGGCCUCUUGCCAUCGGAUGUGCCCAGAUGGGAUUAGCUAGUAGGUGGGGUAACGGCUCACCUAGGCGACGAUCCCUAGCUGGUCUGAGAGGAUGACCAGCCACACUGGAACUGAGACACGGUCCAGACUCCUACGGGAGGCAGCAGUGGGGAAUAUUGCACAAUGGGCGCAAGCCUGAUGCAGCCAUGCCGCGUGUAUGAAGAAGGCCUUCGGGUUGUAAAGUACUUUCAGCGGGGAGGAAGGCGAUAAGGUUAAUAACCUUAUCGAUUGACGUUACCCGCAGAAGAAGCACCGGCUAACUCCGUGCCAGCAGCCGCGGUAAUACGGAGGGUGCAAGCGUUAAUCGGAAUUACUGGGCGUAAAGCGCACGCAGGCGGUCUGUCAAGUCGGAUGUGAAAUCCCCGGGCUCAACCUGGGAACUGCAUUCGAAACUGGCAGGCUAGAGUCUUGUAGAGGGGGGUAGAAUUCCAGGUGUAGCGGUGAAAUGCGUAGAGAUCUGGAGGAAUACCGGUGGCGAAGGCGGCCCCCUGGACAAAGACUGACGCUCAGGUGCGAAAGCGUGGGGAGCAAACAGGAUUAGAUACCCUGGUAGUCCACGCCGUAAACGAUGUCGACUUGGAGGUUGUGCCCUUGAGGCGUGGCUUCCGGAGCUAACGCGUUAAGUCGACCGCCUGGGGAGUACGGCCGCAAGGUUAAAACUCAAAUGAAUUGACGGGGGCCCGCACAAGCGGUGGAGCAUGUGGUUUAAUUCGAUGCAACGCGAAGAACCUUACCUACUCUUGACAUCCAGAGAACUUUCCAGAGAUGGAUUGGUGCCUUCGGGAACUCUGAGACAGGUGCUGCAUGGCUGUCGUCAGCUCGUGUUGUGAAAUGUUGGGUUAAGUCCCGCAACGAGCGCAACCCUUAUCCUUUGUUGCCAGCGGUUAGGCCGGGAACUCAAAGGAGACUGCCAGUGAUAAACUGGAGGAAGGUGGGGAUGACGUCAAGUCAUCAUGGCCCUUACGAGUAGGGCUACACACGUGCUACAAUGGCGCAUACAAAGAGAAGCGACCUCGCGAGAGCAAGCGGACCUCAUAAAGUGCGUCGUAGUCCGGAUUGGAGUCUGCAACUCGACUCCAUGAAGUCGGAAUCGCUAGUAAUCGUGGAUCAGAAUGCCACGGUGAAUACGUUCCCGGGCCUUGUACACACCGCCCGUCACACCAUGGGAGUGGGUUGCAAAAGAAGUAGGUAGCUUAACCUUCGGGAGGGCGCUUACCACUUUGUGAUUCAUGACUGGGGUGAAGUCGUAACAAGGUAACCGUAGGGGAACCUGCGGUUGGAUCACCU
rnacentral:rRNA from 2 species